rnacentral:rRNA from 1 species
UACGUAGGGUGCAAGCGUUAAUCGGAAUUACUGGGCGUAAAGCGUGCGCAGGCGGUUCGUUGUGUCGGUGGUGAAAGCCCCGGGCUUAACCUGGGAAUGGCCAUGGAAACUGGCGAACUGGAGUGUGGCAGAGGGGGGUGGAAUUCCGCGUGUAGCAGUGAAAUGCGUAGAUAUCGUAAGGAAGACCAGUGGCGAAGGCGGGUCUCUGGACAGUUCCUGACGCUGAGGCACGAAGGUCAGGGGAGCAAACGGG